AGGAAUUCAAAGCAGAAGCCUCGUCACUGCUCCUCUUGGAAUUUCUGUGAAUGUAGGUGGUGCUCGAAAAACUCUCCAUAGUGGAUCUGUGUACAACUUUCGUCUCGAGACUUUUCAAAGCUGUAGAGAAUUGCCUGAGAGUAGAUCGUUAAGAAGUCGUUUGGAGCGGAAGUUAGAGUCGGAGGGGCUUGGCAUAACAUUGGACUGUGCUAACCUGCUAAAUAAUAGCUUAGAUGCAUUUUUGAAAAGGCUGAUUGAACCUUGCAUAGGACUGGCUGGAUCCCGACAUACAAAUGAACGUGUCAGAU
rnacentral:misc_RNA from 1 species